CGACGAAGAGGACGCGGAAGCCAACAAAGAAAACGAAUUUUGGGAAACCGAAAAAGAUGAAGAAACUACAGAUGUUGCUCCUCACAAGCCCAAGAAGCAAGGUUGGGAAUGCUACCAAUUCCAUAGAGAGCAUCAAUUGUGCGAGAUCUGUGCUCGACGUGUAUGUACGCGAUCGUGC